rnacentral:rRNA from 1 species
UACGUAGGGUGCAGGCGUUAAUCGGAAUUACUGGGCGUAAAGCGUGCGCAGGCGGUUUGCUAAGACAGGUGUGAAAUCCCCGGGCUUAACCUGGGAACUGCGCUUGUUACUGGCAGGCUUGAGUGUGGCAGAGGGGGGUGGAAUUCCACGUGUAGCAGUGAAAUGCGUAGAGAUGUGGAGGAACACCGAUGGCGAAGGCAGCCCCCUGGGCUGACACUGACGCUCAGGCACGAAAGCGUGGGGAGCAAACAGG